CUAAUCUACCCUUCGAGUAGUGGGAAUAACAUACGAGAAAUCUGAUGCUAAUACCGCAUAAUCAUCUGACACAGGAUCAAAGGAGUAAUCGCUGCUUGAGGAGGGGGUCGCGGCUGAUUAGCUAGUUGGCGGGGUAAUGGCCCACCAAGGACGAAGAUCGGUAUCCGGCCUGAGAGGGCGCACGGACACACUGGAACUGAAACACGGUCCAGACUCCUACGGGAGGCAGCAGUGGGGAAUUUUGCGCAAUGGGGGAAACCCUGACGCAGCAACGCCGCGUGGAGGAUGAAGUCCCUUGGUGUGUAAACUCCUUUCGAUCAGGACGAUCAAUGACGGUACUCGGUGGAA
rnacentral:rRNA from 1 species